AAUUUGAAAUCUGGCGUCUUCGACGUCCGAGUUGUAAUUUGUAGAGGAUGCUUCUGAGUAACCACCGACCUAAGUUCCUUGGAACAGGACGUCAUAGAGGGUGAGAAUCCCGUAUGCGGUCGGAAAGGUGCUCUAUACGUAGCUCCUUCGACGAGUCGAGUUGUUUGGGAAUGCAGCUCUAAAUGGGAGGUAAAUUUCUUCUAAAGCUAAAUAUUGGCCAGAGACCGAUAGCGCACAAGUAGAGUGAUCGAAAGAUGAAAAGCACUUUGGAAAGAGAGUUAAAAAGCACGUGAAAUUGUUAAAAGGGAAGGGAUUGCAACCAGACUUGCUCGCGGUGUUCCGCCGGUCUUCUGACCGGUCUACUCGCCGCGUUGCAGGCCAGCAUCGUCUGGUGCCGCUGGAUAAGACUUGAGGAAUGUAGCUCCCUCGGGAGUGUUAUAGCCUCUUGUGAUGCAGCGAGCGCCGGGCGAGGUCCGCGCUUCGGCUAGGAUGCUGGCGUAAUGGUCGUAAUCCGCCCGUCUUG
rnacentral:rRNA from 1 species